rnacentral:rRNA from 1 species
UCCUACGGGAGGCAGCAGUGGGGAAUAUUGCACAAUGGGCGCAAGCCUGAUGCAGCAACGCCGCGUGAGGGACGAAGGCCUUCGGGUUGUAAACCUCUUUUAGUAGGGAAGAAGCGACUGGGUUUUCCUGGGAGUGACGGUACCUGCAGAAAAAGCACCGGCUAACUACGUGCCAGCAGCCGCGGUAAUACGUAGGGUGCAAGCGUUGUCCGGAAUUAUUGGGCGUAAAGAGCUCGUAGGCGGUUUGUCGCGUCUGCUGUGAAAACCCGAGGCUCAACCUCGGGCCUGCAGUGGGUACGGGCAGACUAGAGUGCGGUAGGGGAGAUUGGAAUUCCUGGUGUAGCGGUGGAAUGCGCAGAUAUCAGGAGGAACACCAAUGGCGAAGGCAGAUCUCUGGGCCGUAACUGACGCUGAGGAGCGAAAGCAUGGGGAGCGAACAGGAUUAGAUACCCUGGUAGUCCAUGCCGUAAACGUUGGGAACUAGAUGUGGGGACCAUUCCACGGUCUCCGUGUCGCAGCUAACGCAUUAAGUUCCCCGCCUGGGGAGUACGGCCGCAAGGCUAAAACUCAAAGGAAUUGACGGGGGCCCGCACAAGCGGCGGAGCAUGCGGAUUAAUUCGAUGCAACGCGAAGAACCUUACCAAGGCUUGACAUAUACCGGAAACGGCUGGAAACAGUCGCCCCGCAAGGUCGGUAUACAGGUGGUGCAUGGUUGUCGUCAGCUCGUGUCGUGAGAUGUUGGGUUAAGUCCCGCAACGAGCGCAACCCUCGUCCUAUGUUGCCAGCACGUAAUGGUGGGAACUCAUGGGAUACUGCCGGGGUCAACUCGGAGGAAGGUGGGGAUGACGUCAAAUCAUCAUGCUCCUUAUGUCUUGGGCUUCACGCAUGCUACAAUGGCCGGUACAAAGGGCUGCGAUACCGCAAGGUGGAGCGAAUCCCAAAAAGCCGGUCUCAGUUCGGAUUGAGGUCUGCAACUCGACCUCAUGAAGUCGGAGUCGCUAGUAAUCGCAGAUCAGCAACGCUGCGGUGAAUACGUUCCCGGGCCUUGUACACACCGCC